UGGGCCCAGUGUUCGGAGAGGUGAGCUAAGCUUUCCCCAAGCAUCAGGACUGGAGCACAAGGAGACAUCGCAUUUUUUUCUAACAAUGCUGCCUCGGCUUACCUACCUCUCAGCAACUUAAGAGCCUGAAGAGAGGGAACAUCUGCAGCAUUCUGUGUGUUCCACUUCUACCAACGCACAAAGACAUCCGACCUCGCCUGUCUACAGGAGAACAAACAUAAAAACAAAUCGAAGUCUGGAAAAACUAAGAAAAGUGCCACCAGGACACCAAGGGGAAUGUCUACAAGAUGCAAAGCAGACGAGAGAUGAGAUCCGAUUCAUGGGGAAACCCAGCAUAGCCGAGGUACCUGCCAUGGUACAGGAAUCUAUGGUUCAUAUUUUGAGAGCCUCCAUCCUGGCUCUCGUUGAGAAAUGGGUUUGGAUGACCAAGAAUCUCUAUACAUCUGAAGGAAGCCAAGAGCGUGCAGAAGACUCAGAGAAAAACCCACAUAAACUAGGAUAAUACAGGAAUUAAAAGAGACAUUAUACUUCACAGAAGUACCAUCCUGGACAGGUUUGAUAGUCUAUAGGAAUCAGACAGUUGGCAAGAGGACACAGGCCAAACAUAAAAAUCAACGUCUCUUCCUUACGCUGAGGAGAAGAGAGCAUUUGCAAUGGUAACAAAAUAUGUCAUGUAGGGGUAGACCUAACCAAAAUGCUGGAGGACGUACAUGAAGAACAUUUUAAAAUUGUACUAAAGGACAGGAAGUGACAGAUGUUGUAUGCUUCCUGCAGGAGCCCGCAGCACUAUGAAGAAAGCAGGCAGGGGAGUGGCUCGGUAAGCAGCCUCUUCGGCACACUGGAACCAGUGGGAUUUGUCACAGCGUCGAGAGCCACAAUGUAUUCUCCAGGGUGAAAGCUGCCCAAAGCGAAGCGAAGAGACAAGGGGCUAAGCUCAACGAAGUUGCAGUAAAUGUUACAAUCAAAAGGUGAAUACACUCAAUAUGUGCAAUUCCUGGAGAUAGACAUGAAGACAGCAAAGAACCUUACAGGACAAGAAGGUCACAGAAGCCAAGCCAGCAGAGGACACACUCAUGGAAACCAAUCAAAUUAGGGUAAGGGAUUGUGGUAACAAAGCAACACCGUAAUACAGAGGCUGGAGCCAGCCAGUCUGUUCUGUCUCAGGUCCAGAGAAACAGCCCCUCAGAGGACAGGCAGACGGACAGAUGGAUACAGAGAUCUAGACACACAGGUAUGGAUGUGGUCCCAAUUCCAUGUGGUGGUACUUACAGUUUUCCAACUGAAGAGUAGUACCUGAAUUUCUUCUUUUCUUUUUCGGUAUCAGGAAUCAAACUCAGGGCCUCGUGCUUGCUCCUUGAGCUGCAUCCACAGCCCCUAAAUUUCUACAUUCAGUAGAAACUGAACUUUGAAUCUUGAUCUCUCCAAGGCUGGCGAUCUUCAGUGACCCCUGGGUGGUGCUAGGUGGCAGUGGCCAGUGACAGCUGUCCAUCAUCAUGAAGGGCAACAACCAACACUGCAGUGUGUCGUGUUGCUGAGAUGCUCACGAAGUUGGGCGAAUCACAUGCAUUUCUAACUUAAGACAUCUUCAAGUUGAAAUUGGCAGAUUGGUUUACAACCCCACUGUAAAUCAAGGAACAUCUGUUUUCAAAAGAUAAAGAGCUCUCUUGCUUAUUUGCAAUACUAUAUAAAAUAUUUGGUUAAUUAAAACCACAGAUACAGGAUCUUUGAGUCUUAAGUUUGCGUCAUUCUCAGCUUUCCGCUGCCACAGCCUGAUCUUAGGGGUCUUGGAGCAGACGCCCCCACUUUGCACAGGCCCAACAGGGAGCAGUUCCUACUACAGGGCUCCUCACACUCUUGAUGAGGACUUGGCCACGAGGCAGUUUGGACAAUGCAGUCCACUCAGUGGCCUCUGCCUAGCUCCGGAUCUGUUCUCCUACAAGGACAAAAUGGAUUUCAUUUGAAGUAAGUGAUCUCCACCUCCACCUCCCUAGUGAAAAGCAAAUAAAUGUAAAUU
ensembl:lincRNA